GACGAACGCUGGCGGCGUGCUUAACACAUGCAAGUCGAACGGAAAGGCCCUGCUUUUGUGGGGUGCUCGAGUGGCGAACGGGUGAGUAACACGUGAGUAACCUGCCCUUGACUUUGGGAUAACUUCAGGAAACUGGGGCUAAUACCGGAUAGGAGCUCCUGCUGCAUGGUGGGGGUUGGAAAGUUUCGGCGGUUGGGGAUGGACUCGCGGCUUAUCAGCUUGUUGGUGGGGUAGUGGCUUACCAAGGCUUUGACGGGUAGCCGGCCUGAGAGGGUGACCGGCCACAUUGGGACUGAGAUACGGCCCAGACUCCUACGGGAGGCAGCAGUGGGGAAUAUGGCACAAUGGGCGGAAGCCUGAUGCAGCAACGCCGCGUGCGGGAUGACGGCCUUCGGGUUGUAAACCGAUUUCGCCUGUGACGAAGCGUGAGUGACGGUACUGGGUAAAGAAGCACCGGCUAACUACGUG
rnacentral:rRNA from 1 species